rnacentral:rRNA from 1 species
CACCGCGGUUAAACGAGAGGCCCUAGUUAACAGUAUUACGGCGUAAAGGGUGGUUAAGGGUUAUAUACAAUAAAGCCAAAUAGCCCUCUGGCCGUCAUACGCUUCCAGGCGCUAGAAAUCCAAUUACACGAAAGUAGCUUUAACACUAUUCACCUGACCCCACGAAAGCUGAGAAA